rnacentral:sRNA from 1 species
GGAGGUGUGGAGCUGAGGGACAGAGGGGACCUAAGGAGGUGUGAGCUGAGGGAUAGAGGGGUCCUAAGGAGGUGUGAACUGAGGGACAUAGGGACCUAAGGAGGUGUGAGCUGAGGGACAUAGGGACCUAAGGAGGUGUGAGCUGAUGGACAGAAGGGAACUAAGGAGGUGUGAGCUGAGGGACAGAAGGGAACUAAGGAGGUGUGAGGUGAGGGACAGAGGGACCUAAGGAGUUGUGAGCUGAGGGACAGUGGGAACCUAAGGAAGUAUGAGCUGAGGGAGAGUGGGGACCUAAGGAGGUGUGAGCUGAGGGACAGAGGGACCUUACGGGGUGUGAGCUGAGGGACAGUGGGGACAUAGAGAGUUAGAGCUGUCUGACAGAGGGACCAUAGGAGGUGUGAGCUGAGGGACAGAGGGGACCUAAGGAGGUGUGAUCUGAGGGAUAGAGGGGUACUAAGGAGGUGUGAGCUGAGGGAUAGAGGGGUACUAAGGAGGUGUGAGCUGAGGGACAGUGCGGACAUAAGGAGGUUUGUGCUGAGGGACAGAGGGGACCAAAGGAGAUGUGAGCUGAGGGACAGAAGGGAACUAAGGAGGUGUGAACUGAGGGACAGAGGGGACAUAAGGAGGUGUGUGCUGCGGGAGAGUGGGGACCCAGAGAGGUGUGAGCUGAGGGACAGAGGGACCUUAGGAGGUGUGAGCUGAGGGUCAGUGGGGACCUAAGGAGGUGUGAGCUGAGUGAUAGAGGGGUACUAAUGAGGUGUGAGCUGAGGGACAGAAGGGACCUAAGGAGGUGUGAGCUGAGGGAUAGAUGGGACCUAAGGAGGUGUAAGCUGAGGGAUAGAGGAGGAUUAAGAAGGUUUGAGCUGAGGGACAGUGGGGACCUAUGGAGGUGUGAGCUGAGGGACAGUGGGGACCGAGAGAGUUGUGAGCUGUGGGACAGAGGGACCUUAGUAGGUGUGAGCUGAGGGACAGAGGGGACCUAAGGAAGUGUGAGCUGAGGGAUAGAGGGGAACUAAGGAGGUGUGAGCUGAGGUACAGUGGGGACAUAAGGAGGUGUGAGCUGAGGAACAGAGGGGACCAAAGAGGUGUGAGCUGAGGGACAGAAGGGAACUAAGGAGGUGUGAGCUGAGGGACAGAAGGGAACUAAGGAGGUGUGAGCUUAGGGACAGAGGGGACCUAAGGAAGUGUGAGCUGAGGGACAGAGGGGACAUAGUGAGGUGUGAGCUGAGGGACAGUGGGGACCCAGGAGAUGUGAGCUGAGGGACAGAGGGGACCCAGGAGGUGUGAGCUGAGGGACAGAGGGGACCUAGGGAGGUGUGAGCUGAGGGACAGUAGGGCCCUAAGGAGGUGUGAGCUGAGGGACAGAGUGGACCUAUGGUGGUGUGACCUGAGGGACAGAGGGGACCUAAGGAGUUGUGAGCUGAGGGACAGUGGGGAUUAAGGAUCAGUGAGCUGAGGGACAGACGGGACUUAAGGAGGUGUGAACUGAGGGACAGAGGGGACCUAAGGAGGUGUGAGCUGAGGGACAGAGGGGACCUAAGGAGGUAUGAGCUGAGGGACAAUGGGGACCUAAGGUGGUAUGAGCUUAGGGACAGUGGGGACUUAAGGAGGUGUGAGCUGAAGGAAAGUGGUGACACAGAGAGGUGUGAAAUGAGGGACAGAGGGGACAUAAGGAGGUGUGAGCUGAGGGAGAGAGGGGACUUAAGGAGGUGUGAGGUGAGGGACAGAGGGGACCUAAGGAAGUGUGAGCUGAGGGACAGAGGGGACAUAGGGAGAUGUUAGCUGAGGGACAGUGGGGACCCAGGAGAUGUGAGCUGAGGGACAGUGGGGACCCCGGAGGUGUGAGCUGAGGGACAGAGGGGACCUAGGGAGGUGUGAGCUGAGGGACAGAAGCGACCUAAGGAGGUGUGAGCUGAGGGACAGAGGAGACCUAAGGAGUUGUGAGCUCAGCGACAAUGGGGACCUGCUUAGUAAAGUAUCCCCAAAAUGAAAAUAAAAAAAACCAUGAAGGUAUUAGUUACAAAAAAGAGCAAAUUCCUGCUGAAGAAAAGGAAGCUAUAUUAAUAUAGGACAAAAUAGAUACUGAGGUAAAAGCAUUAUCACCUCAGAAAGUUAUUUUCUAAUGACAAAUGGUCCAAUCACUGAGAAGAUGGAGAAAUUGUGAUGUUACCCUUUACAUUAAGAUUAGUGAAGAUUAACAUAACAAAACAAUGACAAAUUAGUGCAGAUUUAUCCCAUUGCUCUCAAUUAAGGAGGGCCAAGCAAAUGAAACUAACCAACAUGGCUAAUCUGUUGCCAUCCCGACUCUAUAGCCUUGUGUUUGGUAGAGGGUAACUGUGAGAGUUGAUUGGAUCACACUUGGAACAUGUGUGGCUUUUUUUAAUCACAUAUCACUCCAUUAGCAAGCAUGUCUCAAUUGUGUCAGGAAACUGGUGUCAUUCUUUCUCUGUUAGGCCAUUUAUGUUGGAGCUUAACUUGAUAAAAGUUCCAGAAGCCUACAGAAAAUUUCUUAAUGAAAUGUUAGACACAUCUUCAUUGAAAUCAGGAGAGAAUAAAUGGUGUUCAUUGCUGCUGUUCCUCUUCCUCAUUUUAUUAGACUAGUUGAAAACUGUAAAGAUGAAGGUCUGGAGACAAGAAGACUCAGGAGCCUGCAUGAUGCAACUAUGUUCUUGUCAGGGAGGGUAGCUCGUCAGAAGGUGGACAUGUAAACAUGAACAUUAUAUGCACAACUAAAAUAAAGGUUAAAAUCCAAUUACAGUCUCUGCCAUAGUAAUACAAAACCAAAACUUUUAAAGUUUUACUGAGCUACAAAAAAGGGGUGGGUGGGGGGCCAAAGGGCAACCAGUAAAGAUGGUGUUUCUGUAUGCACAAGAACUAGGCAAAACUUUGCUGAAAGACAGUUUAAAGUGAUGGGACUCAGUAGUAGAUAUGUCCUUGGUAAAAUAACUCAACAUUGUAAAGAAGUCAGUUAAACCCAGAUUGGCCCAUAGGUUCAAUAUAACUCCUGUAAAGUCUAACAGAAUGUGUUGUGCAACCAGUGGAUUUAUCUUACAUUUUAUGAGGAAAGGUAUCAGUAACUCCAGCAUAUCUUCAGAAUAAGGAUCUGUUCUAUAAUAUAAACAUUUAUCUUAACUGUUGUCAUAAAGGUAACACAGUGAUGGAGUAGGCUAAACAAAGAAACCAAAUUACUAAAACAGGGAGUUCUAAAAAGAUACGCACCCAUGCACACCCACACACACAUACACAUACAUGUGCACACAUAUGCUCUCUCUCUCUCCUCUCUCUCUUACACACACACACACACACACACACACACACAUACACACAAGCUUAUCCACAUGCACAUACUACUGAAGAGUCCUGAGUGUAGGCAGGUCUGUUUAUUAACUUUGCUGAAGCACUUGGUAACAUUCAUCAUCAAAUAAAAUAAUUUUUAGGUGAAUUUCAAAUGGUCAAAACUUUGAAACUUUUUGAAAAAAAGAAUAUCUUUAUUAACUUAAUGUAGGGGAAAGUUCUAUAUAUAAGAAAAAAUGUCACUGGAAAGAUAGCAAGAUGAUGAAUUUAUACCACAGAAACACUUAUGGACUAAAGCUUCUCUGUUGCCUCCUUCC